ACCAAAUAUUAUGAAAAAUCGAGACGCUUUCAGUUUAAGGACGCUGAUGGCAGUAUACAAUUUGACGCAAGUGGUGCUAAAUGCAUUACUUUGUGCAAGGACUGUCAAAGUGGUUGCGAAUGUUGGCAUCGUCUGCAGCCCCCUAAACUCAUCCGACAGUGCUACAGACAUCGAAAUCCGUAACAUACACUACUACUACUUCCUUACAAAAAUGUUAGACAUUUUGGAUACUGCAAGUAUAAUCAAACAAAUUUACAAAAAAUAACCCCCUUUUUCCAGAUUUUUCUUGUUUUGCGAAAGAAAAAUAGUCAAGUUUCGUUAUUACAUAUGCACCACCAUGUCAUCAUGAUUGUAACUCCGUGGGCUACUUUUACGUACGCACCAGGUGGUGUUCUAAUGUGGCUUGUUCUGUUUAACACUGUUGUUCAUGUCGUUAUGUACUUUUAUUACUUUUUAAGUUUAUUUGAUGCCGCUAAAGCCCCUUGGUGGAAAAAGUACCUAACACAAUUACAAAUCUAUCAACAGGUCACUAUGUUCGUCGUUUUUUGCAUUCAGUUUAUUAAUUGGGAAUGUACGUAUCCUAAGAUUUUGUUGGUUUAUUGCUUGUCGAAUACGGGGCUCAUGAUUUAUCUUUUCUGUGCGUUUUACGUAAAAAAUUACGUACGUAAAGCAGAUUCACGAACAAAGUAGUACCAAGGUUACAGAGUAUUGUAUGCUUGAUUAA